GGCGUAAAGCGCGCGUAGGCGGUUUUCUUAAGUCUGAUGUGAAAGCCCACGGCUCAACCGUGGAGGGUCAUUGGAAACUGGGAAACUUGAGUGCAGAAGAGGAGAGUGGAAUUCCAUGUGUAGCGGUGAAAUGCGCAGAGAUAUGGAGGAACACCAGUGGCGAAGGCGGCUCUCUGGUCUGUAACUGACGCUGAUGUGCGAAAGCGUGGGGAUCAAACAGGAUUAGAUACCCUGGUAGUCCACGCCGUAAACGAUGAGUGCUAAGUGUUAGGGGGUUUCCGCCCCUUAGUGCUGCAGCUAACGCAUUAAGCACUCCGCCUGGGGGAGUAC
rnacentral:rRNA from 2 species